rnacentral:rRNA from 1 species
UAGGGAAUCUUCCACAAUGGGCGCAAGCCUGAUGGAGCAACACCGCGUGAGUGACGAAGGGUUUCGGCUCGUAAAGCUCUUUUGUUGGAGAAGAACGUGCGUGAGAGUAACUGUUCACGUCGUUACGGUAUCCAACCAGAAAGGCACGCCUAACUCCGUCCCAGCAGCCGCGGUAAUACGUAGGUGGCAAGCGUUAUCCGGAUUUAUUGGGCGUAAAGCGAGCGCAGGCGGUUGCUUAGGUCUGAUGUGAAAGCCUUCGGCUUAACCGAAGAAGUGCAUCGGAAACCGGGCGACUUGAGUGCAGAAGAGGACAGUGGAACUCCAUGUGUAGCGGUGGAAUGCGUAGAUAUAUGGAAGAACACCAGUGGCGAAGGCGGCUGUCUGGUCUGCAACUGACGCUGAGGCUCGAAAGCAUGGGUAGCGAACAGG